UACGAAGGGGGCGAGCGUUGUCCGGAAUUACUGGGCGUAAAGAGCUCGUAGGUGGUUUGUCGCGUUGUUCGUGAAAACUCACAGCUUAACUGUGGGCGUGCGGGCGAUACGGGCAGACUGGAGUACUGCAGGGGAGACUGGAAUUCCUGGUGUAGCGGUGGAAUGCGCAGAUAUCAGGAGGAACACCGGUGGCGAAGGCGGGUCUCUGGGCAGUAACUGACGCUGAGGAGCGAAAGCGUGGGGAGCGAACAGG
rnacentral:rRNA from 1 species